UACGGAGGGUGCAAGCGUUAAUCGGAAUUACUGGGCGUAAAGGGCGCGUAGGCGGUACGUUAGGUCUGCCGUGAAAUCCCCGGGCUCAACCUGGGAAUGGCGGUGGAAACCGGCGCACUAGAGUAUGGGAGAGGGUGAUGGAAUUCCAGGUGUAGCGGUGAAAUGCGUAGAGAUCUGGAGGAACAUCAGUGGCGAAGGAGGUCACCGGGCCCAAUAAUGACGAUGAGGCGCGAAAGCGUGGGGAGCAAACAGG
rnacentral:rRNA from 1 species